UUUUGUUUACAAAGAUUUUGUAUUUUGUUUUCUACCUAGUUUUUUUUUCGUGUUACCUAAUUUGUCGAACUUCUAGCAUUAGUGAAGUUUUUAUUCAAAUUACUUGUGUGCUAUCAUAGGUGCUAUUGGCUAGGGUUUACAAGGAGCUACGUCAGGCAUGGAGGAUGCCAAAGAGCAAAUUAUACAGGAGUCCAAAAAUUCCACGCUACCAUCUCAAGAUGAGCCUUGGGAAGAAAGUUUGCGGGAUGCACACGAGUUUGGAAAACUUGUUCUGUUUUAGAACUUGGAUCCAGCUUACUCUUUAGCAAAAGUGGAGGAUAUAGCUUGGAAUGCCUUCAAUGAAACUUGCAGAGCAAAGAUGGUGCAGCGGACUGCAUUGUAUUUUUUAUUACCUUGCAAUGUGUAUAGUCAUAGGCAAGUUCAACUAGUCAGUCUGUUUCUCAUAUGUAUUAUUUAUUUUAGUUUUGAUUCUAAAUUUUUAUUUUUACUUUAAUAUUUACGACAACUUGAGUUCUAA